UACAGAGGGGGCAAGCGUUAUUCGGAAUUAUUGGGCGUAAAGGGCGCGUAGGCGGCCUGGCAAGUGGAAGGUGAAGUCCCUCGGCUUAACCGAGGAACUGCCCUCCAAACUGCUUGGCUUGAGUCCGGGAGAGGUGAGUGGAAUUCCCAGUGUAGCGGUGAAAUGCGUAGAUAUUGGGAGGAACACCAGUGGCGAAGGCGGCUCACUGGACCGGAACUGACGCUGAGGCGCGAAAGCGUGGGGAGCAAACGGG
rnacentral:rRNA from 1 species